AUUGAACGCUGGCGGCAGGCCUAACACAUGCAAGUCGAACGGUAACAGGAAGAAGCUUGCUUCUUUGCUGACGAGUGGCGGACGGGUGAGUAAUGUCUGGGAAACUGCCUGAUGGAGGGGGAUAACUACUGGAAACGGUAGCUAAUACCGCAUAAUGUCGCACGACCAGAGAGGGGGACCUUCGGGCCUCUUGCCAUCGGAUGUGCCCAGAUGGGAUUAGCUAGUAGGUGGGGUAACGGCUCACCUAGGCGACGAUCCCUAGCUGGUCUGAGAGGAUGACCAGCCACACUGGAACUGAGACACGGUCCAGACUCCUACGGGAGGCAGCAGUGGGGAAUAUUGCACAAUGGGCGCAAGCCUGAUGCAGCUAUGCCGCGUGUAUGAAGAAGGCCUUCGGGUUGUAAAGUACUUUCAGCGGGGAGGAAGGGAGUAAAGUUAAUACCUUUGCUCAUUGACGUUACCCGCAGAAGAAGCACCGGCUAACUCCGUG
rnacentral:rRNA from 1 species